UUCGGGCCUCUCGCGUCAGGAUAUGCCUAGGUGGGAUUAGCUAGUUGGUGAGGUAAGGGCUCACCAAGGCGACGAUCCCUAGCUGGUCUGAGAGGAUGAUCAGCCACACUGGAACUGAGACACGGUCCAGACUCCUACGGGAGGCAGCAGUGGGGAAUAUUGCACAAUGGGCGCAAGCCUGAUGCAGCCAUGCCGCGUGUGUGAAGAAGGCCUUCGGGUUGUAAAGUACUUUCAGUCGUGAGGAAGGUAGUGUAGUUAAUAGCUGCAUUAUUUGACGUUAGCGACAGAAGAAGCACCGGCUAACUCCGUGCCAGCAGCCGCGGUAAUACGGAGGGUGCGAGCGUUAAUCGGAAUUACUGGGCGUAAAGCGCAUGCAGGUGGUUUGUUAAGUCAGAUGUGAAAGCCCGGGGCUCAACCUCGGAAUAGCAUUUGAAACUGGCAGACUAGAGUACUGUAGAGGGGGGUAGAAUUUCAGGUGUAGCGGUGAAAUGCGUAGAGAUCUGAAGGAAUACCGGUGGCGAAGGCGGCCCCCUGGACAGAUACUGACACUCAGAUGCGAAAGCGUGGGGAGCAAACAGGAUUAGAUACCCUGGUAGUCCACGCCGUAAACGAUGUCUACUUGGAGGUUGUGGCCUUGAGCCGUGGCUUUCGGAGCUAACGCGUUAAGUAGACCGCCUGGGGAGUACGGUCGCAAGAUUAAAACUCAAAUGAAUUGACGGGGGCCCGCACAAGCGGUGGAGCAUGUGGUUUAAUUCGAUGCAACGCGAAGAACCUUACCUACUCUUGACAUCCAGAGAACUUUCCAGAGAUGGAUUGGUGCCUUCGGGAACUCUGAGACAGGUGCUGCAUGGCUGUCGUCAGCUCGUGUUGUGAAAUGUUGGGUUAAGUCCCGCAACGAGCGCAACCCUUAUCCUUGUUUGCCAGCGAGUAAUGUCGGGAACUCCAGGGAGACUGCCGGUGAUAAACCGGAGGAAGGUGGGGACGACGUCAAGUCAUCAUGGCCCUUACGAGUAGGGCUACACACGUGCUACAAUGGCGCAUACAGAGGGCGGCCAACUUGCGAAAGUGAGCGAAUCCCAAAAAGUGCGUCGUAGUCCGGAUUGGAGUCUGCAACUCGACUCCAUGAAGUCGGAAUCGCUAGUAAUCGUGGAUCAGAAUGCCACGGUGAAUACGUUCCCGGGCCUUGUACACACCGCCCGUCACACCAUGGGGAGUGGGCUGCAAAAGAAGUAGGUAGUUUAACCUUCGGGGGGGACGCUUACCACUUUUGUGGUUCAUGACUGGGGUGA
rnacentral:rRNA from 1 species